rnacentral:rRNA from 1 species
CUACGGGAUGCUGCAGUAGGGAAUUUUCGGCAAUGGGGGAAACCCUGACCGAGCAACGCCGCGUGAAUGACGAAGUACUUCGGUAUGUAAAGUUCUUUUAUUAGGGAAGAAUGGCAGGUGGAAAAACCUGAUUGACGGUACCUAAUGAAUAAGCCCCGGCUAACUAUGUGCCAGCAGCCGCGGUAAUACAUAGGGGGCAAGCGUUAUCCGGAAUUAUUGGGCGUAAAGGGUGCGUAGGUGGUUAGUUAAGUCUUUGGUGUAAGUGCAGUGCUUAACGCUGUGAUGCUAAAGAAACUGGCUAACUUGAGUGUGGUAGAGGCAAGUGGAAUUCCAUGUGUAGCGGUAAAAUGCGUAAAUAUAUGGAGGAACACCAGUGGCGAAGGCGGCUUGCUGGGCCACAACUGACACUGAGGCACGAAAGCGUGGGGAGCAAACAGGAUUAGAUACCCCCGUAGUC